CAAGCCAACCACAGAAAAGCCAUCUCAGUUCGGAUUGUAGUCUGCAACCCGACUACAUGAAGCUGGAAUCGCUAGUAAUCGCAGAUCAGAAUGCUGCGGUGAAUACGUUCCCGGGUCUUGUACACACCGCCCGUCACACCAUGGGAGUUGGAAAUGCCCGAAGCCAGUGACCCAACCGUAAGGAGGGAGCCGUCGAAGGUGGAGCCGAUGACUGGGGUGAAGUCGUAACAAGGUAGC
rnacentral:rRNA from 1 species